rnacentral:rRNA from 1 species
AGAGUUUGAUCCUGGCUCAGGAUGAACGCUAGCUACAGGCUUAACACAUGCAAGUCGAGGGGCAGCAUGAACUUAGCUUGCUAAGUUUGAUGGCGACCGGCGCACGGGUGAGUAACACGUAUCCAACCUGCCGAUGACUCGGGGAUAGCCUUUCGAAAGAAAGAUUAAUACCCGAUGGCAUAGUUCUUCCGCAUGGUAGAACUAUUAAAGAAUUUCGGUCAUCGAUGGGGAUGCGUUCCAUUAGGUUGUUGGCGGGGUAACGGCCCACCAAGCCUUCGAUGGAUAGGGGUUCUGAGAGGAAGGUCCCCCACAUUGGAACUGAGACACGGUCCAAACUCCUACGGGAGGCAGCAGUGAGGAAUAUUGGUCAAUGGACGAGAGUCUGAACCAGCCAAGUAGCGUGAAGGAUGACUGCCCUAUGGGUUGUAAACUUCUUUUAUACGGGAAUAAAGUGAGGCACGCGUGCCUUUUUGUAUGUACCGUAUGAAUAAGGAUCGGCUAACUCCGUGCCAGCAGCCGCGGUAAUACGGAGGAUCCGAGCGUUAUCCGGAUUUAUUGGGUUUAAAGGGAGCGUAGGCGGACGCUUAAGUCAGUUGUGAAAGUUUGCGGCUCAACCGUAAAAUUGCAGUUGAUACUGGAUAUCUUGAGUGCAGUUGAGGCAGGCGGAAUUCGUGGUGUAGCGGUGAAAUGCUUAGAUAUCACGAAGAACUCCGAUUGCGAAGGCAGCCUGCUGGACUGUAACUGACGCUGAUGCUCGAAAGUGUGGGUAUCAAACAGGAUUAGAUACCCUGGUAGUCCACACAGUAAACGAUGAAUACUCGCUGUUUGCGAUAUACAGUAAGCGGCCAAGCGAAAGCGUUAAGUAUUCCACCUGGGGAGUACGCCGGCAACGGUGAAACUCAAAGGAAUUGACGGGGGCCCGCACAAGCGGAGGAACAUGUGGUUUAA